rnacentral:rRNA from 1 species
UCAGGCCUAACACAUGCAAGUCGAGCGGAAACGAGUUAUCUGAACCUUCGGGGGACGAUAACGGCGUCGAGCGGCGGACGGGUGAGUAAUGCCUAGGAAAUUGCCCUGAUGUGGGGGAUAACCAUUGGAAACGAUGGCUAAUACCGCAUAAUGCCUACGGGCCAAAGAGGGGGUCCUUCGGGCCUCUCGCGUCAGGAUAUGCCUAGGUGGGAUUAGCUAGUUGGUGAGGUAAGGGCCCACCAAGGCGACGAUCCCUAGCUGGUCUGAGAGGAUGAUCAGCCACACUGGAACUGAGACACGGUCCAGACUCCUACGGGAGGCAGCAGUGGGGAAUAUUGCACAAUGGGCGCAAGCCUGAUGCAGCCAUGCCGCGUGUGUGAAGAAGGCCUUCGGGUUGUAAAGCACUUUCAGUCGUGAGGAAGGUGGUGUAGUUAAUAGCUGCAUUAUUUGACGUUAGCGACAGAAGAAGCACCGGCUAACUCCGUGCCAGCAGCCGCGGUAAUACGGAGGGUGCGAGCGUUAAUCGGAAUUACUGGGCGUAAAGCGCAUGCAGGUGGUUUGUUAAGUCAGAUGUGAAAGCCCGGGGCUCAACCUCGGAAUAGCAUUUGAAACUGGCAGACUAGAGUACUGUAGAGGGGGGUAGAAUUUCA